GCUUAUAGACCACUUGAGAAAGCAGUGGCGUGGGUGGCCCUGCAGCCAUGAUGUUCUGCCAGGGGCGGGGCCUGCACUGUGCUCGCUCAUCUGUGGCCACCUAGGAUUCCACCCUGCAUCACUCCUUUUCUCUUCUCCUGGAGAUCAUUCUAAACCCCGCCAAAGUGGAGAGGCCCCUGUUCCCCCACCAGUCCUGCACGGAUACUGGGGUUCCUCUGCUAUUCUUCCCCUCCGAGAGCCAGUUCCCAGGCCAGCAAUAAACAUACCUCUUCCCUCCAUGCUCUGAUAGCCCCACUCCAAAAAGAAGGUGUCUCUCCCUUUCUACCAGACUCAAUCUUAGAGUGCCCCUAGCCACCUGCAAUGCCAGGAUGGCUCGUGCCCAUGACAGAGGUUUGGAGGCUGAGGGAUGCUGUCAUAGAGCAUCCUCAUAGAUGGUUAGAGGAGGUGUGGCUUCACUUUCCUAUGGCCCCUGUUACUACAGAGACUCCCAUCCAGGCUACAGCCUGUUACAACCAGGCUCCUCUCCUCCAUAAGGUUUUCUGCUCUGUGUCUCGGCCCUCAUCCCACCAUGCCAGCCCAGCAAGUCUGCUCAGCGUGUCUAUCCCCUGGCUCCCUCCUACUUUGCCUUCCAUCCACCUAAAGGGCCUCUUCCAGUCAUCCAUACUCUGCCUCAGGAGACAAUAGUGAUCUAUCUCCAGAACCCACUUUCUAUGUACACAGGCCCUGCUGGAUAUUUUGUCCUUGGGUCCCACUCAUGCCAGUAUGUGCCAACAUCUAACCACAGCACCAUGGCUCUCUGUCCCAUGAGCACCUUCUAUAGACCAGGUGUACGUGGGGGCACUUUCCAUGCUUCAUUUAUAUUCUCUCAGCAACCUUGAGAUAUAUGGGUUUAUUACCCCCAUUCUAAAAACAAGGAGACAGAGUCCUAGAAAGACGGCUUCACUUACAAAGCCAUCAUCAGCUGCUAAUCAGUGAUGUUGGGAUAUGAACUCAUCAGGCUGUAUGGCUUAUAGUGUGCUCUGUUACCUCCCAGAACACCUUCACAAAAGGGAGUGUCAUGAAUGGGAACCUAUACACCUGCAUCUCGCUGGAGGGUGAGCUCUCAUGGAUGACAGCAGAUCAUCCAUUUAUGCCUGAGGCCCCCAUAACACACUUCACUUCAAGGUAACUGGCCAGGGACAACCAGAGACCCCUUUCUUCUCCCCCUCUACUGCCACAGUAGAUGGUGUCCAAAUGCCAGCUUCUAUGUCUGUAACAGAGACCAAUGGGCAGGGUCUACUCUCAGCCUUCUGGCCAGUCACCAAGUCAGUUUUCUCAGUCUUACCUAUGGCUCCAAACCCAGUUAACCAGAGAAUCAAAGCAACUCUCUUGCCACAGCCACAGAACCAGAGCACAACACCUCAGCCCUCAAGCAUGUCACAGUCCUUUGCUCAAACGAGGGUUGGCUGGAGGCUUCCUGUCAGUCACUUAGUGUACAGUGGCCGACAGAGGGAACAAGACAGACGUGUUCUCACGGGGAGCGCUCCUUCCAGGUGAUUUGUAGCUAGGCUGUUGUUUGGGGUCUGAGAAGCAUAAAUCUCAGGUAUUACAGUUUUCACUUUGGUCUGCGAACUAUAAUCUCAUUGGAGGUGCAAUGUCCAUGAGGCUCGCAAGUCUCUAAUUCUAAAUCUCCCCCAGGGUGAGAGAACAAGAGCUGGACAAAAACCAAGGAAACUGCUUCCAUGCAGGGCUGCUCGGCCACAGAGCACAGUUGGAGGCUAGGAAGCACAGUGACACAAGGGUGGCUCUUGGACAUACAGACCCACGAGGUAACCCUGUGUGCUCAGGAGAUACUAUUUACGUUUCCAUGGACCAACUCCUCCACGGGUUCUGCCCACCAACAUCUCCAUGGUGAGUGAUAUACAGAUAGAUAGUUGAGCACCUACUGUGUGCUCAGUGUUUCGAGAACCCUGCCAUCUACUCCUCACAAAACCCGACCAGAACAAAGCUAAAGUGGCAAAGGUGAAGUAACUGGCCCAAAGCCUGGUGGGUCCUGACCCACACUGUGGGGUAGGAAUACACUCAGCCACACACAUCCAUUGCUAAAUUCUUUCCCUGGGAGAGACACAGACAACUUCUACCCUUCCUCCUAAGGUCCUCAUGACAAAACAAGACACAAUUCCACCAAAGUUCACUCUCUUGGAGCCAAUGAUAAUGAGUGAGGGUUGUGGUGAGCAGCAUGGGUGACCCGAAAGCAGCCACCCUGAAAGAUUCACACCCAACAUGGCUUCGCCAUGGAUGUAUAAAAGGAACCCCUGCCUGCCUUCAUCCUUUGACACUUAUAUCUUAUAGCCCCACCCCCAGGCUACCAGGUCACAUACAAUUAAGGCAUAAUUGCAUACAGCUGGUUAGGACAGUGGCUGGAUACUCAGGUGAGGGUCUCAGGCUCUCCCCAAUUCUCCUCCUAAGAGGGAAAGUCUAGAGUGAACAGGCACAGCUAUGCUACUCUUGUGAGCAGGCAUAGCAGAAUUCAAAAAGGGCAGCAGUUUGGCUUGGAGAACAGUCUUGAAGUACAGUCUUAAAAAACGAGACUGUCAUCAGCUUUAAAAAUAGAUAUGGAUGAGUCUGCGGCAGGUACGGAUCCCAGCAGAAAGCUGGGAACACGCUGGAGACCUGACCCUCGGGAGGGCGUUUCUGAUUAUCUAGACCAGUACUGCUCUGCUCUCACUGGUUUCCUUGUGGCUAAUCAUCUGACCAAAUGCAAUGAAAUAAAGGGGUUACCCUGACUGACAGCUUCAGGGAGUAGGAUCUAUCGUGGUGGGGAAGGCAGCAGGAGCAGGAGAGGGCAGUCAGGAAGCAGAAGGCAAUGAAUACUCAUGCUCAGCUCACUUACUCCUUUCUAAGCCCUCUGAGGCUCCACCCCACCCCCACCCCCAUCCCUACCCCAGCCAGCUAUUUAGCAUGGGUCUUUGCUCCUCGGUUAACCUUAUCUCCAUUCCUUCGACUAUCUCCUGAGUGACUCUAGACCCCCUGUCAAACUGACACUCAAUAUAAACCAUCCCAACCUGGAGAAGAAGAAAAAAAAGCAUCGCUUCCCAAGUCCUAAGUAAAGUUAGAGUGCACCCCCAAAGUAACAGAACGCAGGAGAGCUCAAUUACAGCAGGGAGGCAGAACCCAGAAGGAGCAACUUCUGCAGAGCAGGAGCAUUCUCGAACACAUCUGCCUGGAAACACGGUUUCCACACACACCUGCUGGUCAACCUCACUUAACCCCCAGUUACCCCUGUACCACGUUCAGCCUCAGGCUCUGUCCCAGCUGCUCUCUCACUCCAAGCGUGGAUCUCUGAAUACAGAAUUUCUUGUAGGAGAAGUCCUACCCUUGCUGUGUUUCCAGGAUGUGACAAAGAGUGGUCCCAUGCUCACCGUGCUGCCCUGCAAGGUGCCGCUAGGUCAUCAAGUUCACAUCUUUGCACAUCUAUUGAAAAAAUAAACUGUACUUACAAUAUGUGGUUUUUGUGGAAAUAUGAAAAUAAAUAACACUAUGGCUUCUCAGCCCUUGGGCUAAUGUUAAGUGCUGAUUGGUUCUGCUUCUGCCCUUGGGGCAUUAAGGCACCUUUGUACAUCAGGCGGGACUGGAAGGAAGGAAGCUUAUCCAAGUGGGUGGGGUUCCACAAGAUCUCAGGUCUCGGCUGAUGUGAGUGUGGGAGAAAUAGCCUUCUCCAGAGACCGUUUUAAGUGAAAUAGCUCUCUUUUAUUGGGGGGUGCAUGCCUUUAAUCCAGCAGUGAGGUGGAUGAGACAGGAGAAUCUCAGGUCAAAGAUCAGCCUGGGCUACAGGGAAUGACAUUGUCUCAAUAACAACAACAGAGAAUACCACCGAAAGAUAGAAAUAUGAAAUGCACUCUAAUCACCUUUGCUGGCGGUGUCACUCCUCUGUGGCAGUGUUUCUAAUGUUUCUAUAGUUUGGGGACCCUACUGCCCACUCUCUGUAACUUAGUGCACUUCCCACUACCCACUCCCACCUGCUCUUUCUAAAUGUCUCAUCAUUACACAGUGUACUUGGACAAGUGGGCUCAUAGACACAUUUCUGAACACACUGACUUCUUAUUCUCAGGCAAUUCCUAGAAGUGCUGGGCUACAGGGUAAGUGCAUUUUAAAGGCUUCAGUGAGUGCAUUUGCCCUCCAGGAAGAUUAGACUGGCUUCUCCUAAUGGCUAUGGAUGACUGGGGAAGCCAUCUAUUUAAGCAUUAGCUGUGUUCUUGGGGCUUUCCUUUCUGGC
rnacentral:lncRNA from 1 species